rnacentral:rRNA from 1 species
AACGAACGCUGGCGGCAGGCUUAACACAUGCAAGUCGAGCGCCCCGCAAGGGGAGCGGCAGACGGGUGAGUAACGCGUGGGAAUCUACCCAUCCCUACGGAAUAGCUCCGGGAAACUAGAAUUAAUACCGUAUACGCCCUACGGGGGAAAGAUUUAUCGGGGAUGGAUGAGCCCGCGUUGGAUUAGCUAGUUGGUGGGGUAAAGGCCUACCAAGGCGACGAUCCAUAGCUGGUCUGAGAGGAUGAUCAGCCACAUUGGGACUGAGACACGGCCCAAACUCCUACGGGAGGCAGCAGUGGGGAAUAUUGGACAAUGGGGGCAACCCUGAUCCAGCCAUGCCGCGUGAGUGAUGAAGGCCUUAGGGUUGUAAAGCUCUUUCACCGGGGAAGAUAAUGACGGUACCCGGAGAAGAAGCCCCGGCUAACUUCGUGCCAGCAGCCGCGGUAA